GGAAAGCAAGAGAAUUGCGGAUAUCUGAGGAACCACAAUCAGGUCGGCAAAUAAAGGUGACAGACCUAGAGGGAAAACAAUGGAUGCGAAAAUUCAAGGAAACAGCGUGCUUCCAGGAAAACAAAAAAAGAGAAGAAAAGGAAUCAAGUGAUAAGGUUAGCUUUAGAGGGAAUAAGCCAGAAUU